GACGAACGCUGGCGGCGUGCUUAACACAUGCAAGUCGAACGGAAAGGCCCUGCUUUUGUGGGGUGCUCGAGUGGCGAACGGGUGAGUAACACGUGAGUAACCUGCCCUUGACUUUGGGAUAACUUCAGGAAACUGGGGCUAAUACCGGAUAGGAGCUCCUGCUGCAUGGUGGGGGUUGGAAAGUUUCGGCGGUUGGGGAUGGACUCGCGGCUUAUCAGCUUGUUGGUGGGGUAGUGGCUUACCAAGGCUUUGACGGGUAGCCGGCCUGAGAGGGUGGCCGGCCACAUUGGGACUGAGAUACGGCCCAGACUCCUACGGGAGGCAGCAGUGGGGAAUAUUGCACAAUGGGCGGAAGCCUGAUGCAGCAACGCCGCGUGCGGGAUGACGGCCUUCGGGUUGUAAACCGCUUUCGCCUGUGACGAAGCGUGAGUGACGGUAAUGGGUAAAGAAGCACCGGCUAACUACGUGCCAUCAGCCGCGGUGAUACGUAGGGUGCGAGCGUUGUCCGGAUUUAUUGGGCGUAAGGGGCUCGUAGGUGGUUGAUCGCGUCGGAAGUGUAAUCUUGGGGCUUAACCCUGAGCGUGCUUUCGAUACGGGUUGACUUGAGGAAGGUAGGGGAGAAUGGAAUUCCUGGUGGAGCGGUGGAAUGCGCAGAUAUCAGGAGGAACACCAGUGGCGAAGGCGGUUCUCUGGGCCUUUCCUGACGCUGAGGAGCGAAAGCGUGGGGAGCGAACAGGCUUAGAUACCCUUGGUAGUCCACGCUGUAAACGGUGGGUACUAGGUGUGGGGUCCAUUCCACGGGUUCCGUGCCGUAGCUAACGCUUUAAGUACCCCGCCUGGGGAGUACGGCCGCAAGGCUAAAACUCAAAGGAAUUGACGGGGCCCCGCACAAGCGGCGGAGCAUGCGGAUUAAUUCGAUGCAACGCGUAGAACCUUACCUGGGUUUGACAUGGAUCGGAAGCGCUCAGAGAUGGGUGUGCCUCUUUUGGGGUCGGUUCACAGGUGGUGCAUGGCUGUCGUCAGCUCGUGUCGUGAGAUGUUGGGUUAAGUCCCGCAACGAGCGCAACCCUUGUUCACUGUUGCCAGCACGUUAUGGUGGGGACUCAGUGGAGACCGCCGGGGUCAACUCGGAGGAAGGUGGGGAUGACGUCAAGUCAUCAUGCCCCUUAUGUCCAGGGCUUCACGCAUGCUACAAUGGCUGGUACAGAGAGUGGCGAGCCUGUGAGGGUGAGCGAAUCUCGGAAAGCCGGUCUCAGUUCGGAUUGGGGUCUGCAACUCGACCUCAUGAAGUCGGAGUCGCUAGUAAUCGCAGAUCAGCAACGCUGCGGUGAAUACGUUCCCGGG
rnacentral:rRNA from 1 species